GGAGAUCAAGAGUCAUUUAUUUGCCAGAUGCGUCCAAAAGGCGAGAUGGCGGCCUCCUGAAGGGUCGUUUGUGAAGAUAACUUUUGAUGCUUCUUUUUAACGACAAUUGUUAAAAUCAUGCUCGAGGAGAAGCGAUUGCAUGCCUCGAAGGAGUUCAGAUGGGCUUGGAUCUUGGGUUCCAGAGGGUGAUUUUGGAAGGGGAUAGUCUCACAGCGGUGAAGAAAUUGUAAAAUAAAAAUAAAGAUAUCUCAGAGAUCAACCCUAUUAUGGAAGAUGUGAAAAGAGCCAGUCAGGGGCUUCGUAGAGUGUAGAUUUAAUUUUGUGGGGAGAAAUACAAACGAGACAUCACAUCGGUUGGCAAAAGAAGGAUUAGUCAAUGGUAAAACUUUUUACCUGAUGGAGAGCAAGGCCAAAGCAGCGGAAGAAGAUAGUCGUUGGGCUGAGUUAAGGCAUCUGCAUCGUUUUGGUUUCCUUGGGAGGAAAUUAAAGAUUUCUGCGUGUGAAGUCUCUAUCUACUUUUCCAGAAUUGUCAUAAAUGAGUUGUUUCUUCAUAUUAAUUAUGCCUUUAGUGGAGCAGCUCUUUUAAGUUUGGGUUUUGAGCUUGUCAAAUUUGACUGUUGAUGUUUGUUUGUUUUAUUUCUUUUCCUAAUGAAUAAACGUGUGGCCCGGCCUAUUUAUCAAAAAAAAAAAAAUUUUGGUUAAAA